rnacentral:lncRNA from 1 species
AGGCAGCAUCGCAAACUUCACCAAUGUGGCUGCCACCUUCAAGGGCAUUGUGAGAGCAAUUAGAGAUUACCAGGGUCCUCUGAAGGAGCA